UGUUUUUUGUUUGGCCAGGGCUAGGGGGUGGGGUUGUAAUAUAUAUUGUCCAUUAUAUAGUAUUUUGUUUGAAAAAGGUCUGUUGAUUAAAUUUAGUUACAAAUCACUAUUCUUUUAACUAAUAACCUAGUACUUUGGUUCCCAAAUUCUGGUGCAUGGUGAAAUAAAGACAAUGUAGAGAAUGUCUCGUAAAAUGACAUUUGUUCUUUUGUGGAAUUCUUAAAUAGAUCUAUUUUUAAAUCUAUUUGUGCAUGAAUGUUUUUAAAAGUCCUGUCAUUAUUGCCUAUAGGAAUAUUUACUUUAAUAUCCUUGUUUAAAUGUUGACAAGCUUUUCUCAGUUCCCUAGUUUUACUUUUGAAAUUUAAUAGUUAAGAAAUAU
rnacentral:lncRNA from 1 species